rnacentral:lncRNA from 1 species
AAGAAAUGCUGGCCAAAGCUAUCGAGCCACAGGAAACCACCAAGAGAAGCUCCACCCUCCCAUUUAUGAGACGCCACCUACGCUCCAGCCCAAGCCCUGUCAUUCUGCGGCAGCUGGAAGAAGAAGAGAGAGCUCGAGAAGCAGCCAACACCGUGGACAUCACCCAGGUCAUGAGCAAGCUGGACCGCAGGAGCCAACUCAAAAAGGAGCUGCCUCCUAAAUGAAUGUCUGCUUCCUGGGGUUGGGGUGGGGAUCAUCGUGCACUUCAGAGAGGCACUUAUACCUCCCCCCAAAAAGGAUUAGUGUUCAGAAGGUUCAUGCUUUUGUCAGCAAAAUGUAGGGUUCGG